GAAAAUGUGCCCGAAAGCUAGGGACCUCCUUGAUAGGGAGGCUAAUAGAGGUGCAAACCCUCUCAUUUUCU
rnacentral:tRNA from 1 species